GGGGGCGAAACGGUUUCGACGGGGCGGUGCAAGCCGAGGCUGCGUGUCGGGGGUGCUGGUGACCUCGUUAAAACAACCGGCAAAAAAUCAAGUGCCAACAACAACAAGCACUUCGCUCUCGCUGCUUAGUCAGUAGAUAGCCGUCCGAGCUGGCAAUACCAGGGUUCCAGUUUCGGGCGUGUCACGACCUGGUUAGUCCUGACCUGUGCAGGGGCGCAGUGGGUGGGGACGAUAAACAACCCAACAAAGUCGCUUCCAACGUUGGCUUAGGGUCGGCCACUGAACCCGGUCAGCGUCGUAAAUCAGGGGCUACACACGUAGAUGCCGACGUAGAUCCGUCUCGGACGCGGGUUCGACUCCCGCCGCCUCCACUC
rnacentral:tmRNA from 1 species